AAAAACAAAAGAACAAAACCGGAACACUUCGGGCUUCGUUUUCGUGCCCUUCUCUUUCGUUCGAGCUCUGCCUUUUCCGGCGUCUCUCCCUUCUCUCCGGCGCCUCCCACUCGGCUGACUCUUCGGCGACUCCCCACUCCACUGACUCUCCGGCGCCUCCCCACUCGGCUGACUCUCCGGCGCCAACAGGUGGUGCUCCUUCACCGGCUGAAGCUUCCGAAUCCAGGUACGCUCGCAAAUCUGAGCCACCUUCUACUGCUCCUCCUUCUCCGUUCGACGAGGGCUUCGGCGAGAGCCACCCCUCGCAAAUCUGAGCCACCUUCGCCGACAGCAGGGACGCUUGCUCGAGCGACAGCUCGCUCGAGCCUCAAGCGAGCGUUGCUCGCCCAGAUCUACGGCGGCGGCGACGGCGUUGGCAGAGACAACUUCCUCGGACUUCAGCACCGUCCCUCCCCCUCCGUGUUCCCUCCCCUCCACCACGAUGGCCUCGACCGUCUCCCACCACCACCGCCACCACAUCAUCCCACUUCACCUCCCUCUUCCUCGUCUCCGUCGUCGCCAUCGUCGUCUUCUUCCUCGCCUACUCCUCCUCUUAACGGGACAGAGAUUGAGCCGCUGCCGAGCUGUCCGCCGUGCAGAAUCCUUUGGUAAGGCGUCCGUGGGAUUGCUUCGAGAGUCCGCCACUGCACGCUCGUCGCGGGAGGUUUCUGGUCGUUCGGCUCUGCUGCAGCGGCGGCAGUAAUCCUACUGUCGUUGGCGUACGCGAGAAUGCGGAGCAGGAGGAGGCGGUGGUGGUGGAGCAGGGACAGAGUCCCCGUGGCGAAGGCGAGCAAGAACCCCCUCCUCCUCCUCAUCAGAGACAAGGACCAGAAGAUCAGUCAACUCCUGCUUCAAAUUGCACAAAUGAACGAACUCAUGUUAGCUCGGCGGCGGGUUCAGGUGCUUCGAGUCGAUCGUUAAUGCUUUUCAUCCCUCAUCAGUCGUCUCUCUGCUGCACUCGCUCCUUAAAGCUGCUCCAACCGGCACAAGAAUGGACGUGAAAAUGCGAGAAUUUUUGGCUUCUGUUUAUACAUAUAUGUAUGGAGGGAAUACACUUGAACUGCUCAAUGAGUACUGAUUCUGUAAAGACAAAUGGUGACUGCACCAAUCUAUUAUUCUAUUAGUUUGAUAUGUGGAAAUUCCAUCAUUUUGC